rnacentral:tRNA from 1 species
GGGAUUGUGGCUCAGUGGUAGAGAACUUGCCUAGCAUGUAAGAGGCACUGGGUUUGACCCUCAACACCA